rnacentral:rRNA from 1 species
UUGGAGGGCAAGUCUGGUGCCAGCAGCCGCGGUAAUUCCAGCUCCAAUAGCGUAUAUUAAAGUUGUUGCAGUUAAAAAGCUCGUAGUUGAAUUUCGGGAUCAAUUUGCUGGUCGUGCCUCUGGUACGUACUGGUAUUAUUGGUUUCUCCCUUCUGACGAACCAUGAUGUCAUUAAUUUGAUGUCGUGGAGAAUCAGGACUGUUACUUUGAAAAAAUUAGAGUGUUUAAAGCAGGCAUUAGCUUGAAUACAUUAGCAUGGAAUAAUGAAAUAGGACGUUUGAUCCUAUUUUGUUGGUUUCUAGGAUUGACGUAAUGAUUAAUAGGGAUAGUUGGGGGCAUUAGUAUUCAAUUGUCAGAGGUGAAAUUCUUGGAUUUAUUGAAGACUAACUACUGCGAAAGCAUUUGCCAAGGAUGUUUUCAUUAAUCAAGAACGAAAGUUAGGGGAUCGAAGACGAUCAGAUACCGUCGUAGUCUUAACAUAAACUAUGCCGACUAGGGAUCGGAUGAUGUUAAUUUUUUAAUGACUCAUUCGGCGCCUUACGGGAAACCAAAGUGUUUGGGUUC